rnacentral:tRNA from 1 species
CAUUAAAUGGCUGAAAGCAAGCACAGGUCUCUUAAACCUUUCUAUAGUAAACUAGCAAUUACUUUUAAUG